rnacentral:rRNA from 1 species
UACGUAGGGGGCAAGCGUUGUCCGGAAUCAUUGGCGUAAAGCGCGUGUAGGCGGCCCGGUAAGUCCGCUGUGAAAGUCGGGGGCUCAACCCUCGAAAGCCGGUGGAUACUGUCGGGCUCGAGUGCGGAAGAGGCGAGUGGAAUUCCUGGUGUAGCGGUGAAAUGCGUAGAUAUCUGGAGGAACACCGGUGGCGAAGGCGGCGUCCUGGACCAACACUGACACUGAUGAGCGAAAGCCAGGGGAGCAAACGG